GCCAGGCAUGGUGGCGCAUGCCUGUAAUCCCAGCUAUUCAGGAGGCUGAGGCAGGAGAAUUGCUUGAACCCAGGAGGUGGAGGUUGCAGUGAGCUGAGAUUGCGCCACUGCACUCCAGCCUGGGUGACAGAGGGAGACUUUGUCUCAA
rnacentral:SRP_RNA from 1 species